rnacentral:rRNA from 1 species
CCUACGGGAGGCAGCAGUAGGGAAUAUUGGGCAAUGGGCGCAAGCCUGACCCAGCAACGCCGCGUGAAGGAAGAAGGCUUUCGGGUUGUAAAACUCUUUUGACAGGGAAGAGUAGAAGACGGUGCCUGUCGAAUAAGCCACGGCGAACUACGUGCCAGCAGCCGCGGUAAGACGAAGGUGGCAAGCGUUGUCCGGAUUUACUGAGUGGAAAGGGCGGGUAGCCGGGUUGAUAAGUCAGAUGUGAAAUCCUGCGGCUUAACCGCAGAACUGCAUUCGAAACUGGUGAUCUUGAGUACUGGAGAGGCAGACGGAAUUCCUAGUGUAGCGGUGGAAUGCGUAGAUAUUUGGAGGAACACCAGUGGCGAAGGCGGUCUGCUGGACAGCAACUGACGGUGAGGCGCGAAAGCGUGGGGAGCAAACAGGAUUAGAUACCCGGGUAGUC